CAUUCAUAUGGUUUCCUGUUUGGCGGAUUGGUGUUUUGCAGUAGCUGUGCCUGUGUCUCUGGAAGGGAAGAUCUACUAAACGGCUGUUAACCCCUUUUAUGCCUGGCGGUGCCGUUACACCCUUUAAAACACGUGUAACACACAGUAAUGUGUGUAAUAGUGAUGUCCCGAACAGUUCGCCGAACGGUUCGCCACGGAUGGCG